rnacentral:misc_RNA from 1 species
UUAAGUUCAGCGGGUAUCCCUACCUGAUCCGAGGUCAAGCGUAAAAUGGUAGACUUGUGGAUGCCACCGUCAGCAGCGGAGAGCGCAAAAUGUGCUGCGCUCCCACACGGGACGGCGGGCUGCCAAUGCAUUUGAGGCGAGUUCACGCGUGCAGCGGAACAAAACGCCCAACACCCAGCAGGGCUGGAGGGUACAAAUGA